rnacentral:rRNA from 1 species
AACGAACGCUGGCGGCAGGCCUAACACAUGCAAGUCGAACGAACCGUUCGGGGCUAGUGGCGCACGGGUGAGUAACGCGUGGGAACGUGCCUUUAGGUUCGGAAUAACUCCCGGAAAGUGGUGCUAAUACCGCAUAUGCUCUUCGGAGGAAAGAUUAAUCGUCGUUAGAGCGGCCCGCAGCUGCUUAGCUAGUUGGUAGCGGUAAUGGCUCACCAAGGCGACGAUCAGUAGCUGGUUUGAGAGGAUGAGCAGCCACAUUGGGACUGAGACACGGCCCAGACUCCUACGGGAGGCAGCAGUGGGGAAUCUUGCACAAUGGGCGAAAGCCUGACGCAGCCAUGCCGCGUGAAUGAUGAAGGUCUUAGGAUUGUAAAAUUCUUUUACCUGGGAUGAUAAUGACGGUACCCGGAGAAGAAGCCCCGGCUAACUUCGUG